AAUAAUGCAAUGGCUGGAAGACAAGGAAGCAGCGGAGUAACUGGGCAGAUGCACUGGAUAUUAGCAAUAAUUCUGAUGCUGUGGAGUCACCAGAUCAGUGGACAAGGACAAGAUGGCAUCCAAGCUUGAUAACAGAAGGUACAAGGGAUUAAUAUUUCGCUGCAAAACAACAGUUUGAGCAGCAUUUUCCUUCUGAGGCCUGGUUUAGCAUCAUGAAGUGAUGAAGUACUGUGAGUGCUGCUGCUUUGACACAUUUCCAACUGCAUUUGGGAUAAAGUAUAAUGUCACUUUAUGGUUACUACCAUGCAAAUGGGUGCUCAUCUUUCCUGUACAGCAGGCCAUUCCCUGAGUCUCAGCGUUUGCUCAUUGAAAGCUAUCAGUAAAAUUCAGAUUUUACAUGCAUUGGUAAUAUAGUCUUGUGAAUAUGAACAUA